rfam:Oryzias latipes DNA, chromosome19, strain: Hd-rR.
ACAACGGCUCUUUUAAGAGCCACCAACAGAACCCUUUUGAGCUUG